CGGGGCGCUGACGGGGAGAGAGCGGGGGAGGCGCGAAGUUCCUGCCGCGUGGAGACGGGUGGUGGACGCGGUCGUUCCGUUCCGAGGCACAAAAGCCAGGAAGUUUCAGCCCUCCGGGGGCGCCGCGCUUCGCCGCUCCGCUCCGCGCGUCAGUUGGCAGCCGCCCGCCGAGGAUGCCACCCCCGGGUGGCGUGGGCCCCCGCCGGCGUGACGCGUCGGGUGGCUGGCGGUGCCGCCCGGAGCGGAGGAAUGCCCUGUGAGACGCACUCGAACUUCCCGGAGCGAGCGCGGGGCUCGGAGCCGCGGUCGGGAGGAAGAGCGUCGUCUCCGGGAGGGAUUCCGUUAGUGUCGGUCGCCGGGGGAGGGGCGGAGGGCACGGCGAGAGCGGCGAGGAGCCGGCGUUUUCUAUGGAGAACGAGACUUGGCUGCGACCGCUCUGCUGUGUACUGCUAAUUGGGAGAAGUGAAAGAUGAAGGCAAAUCAGAUGUCAGGUGAUAAACUGAAGAAUCAAAGCACCUAACAAAUAUCAACUAGAGAAAUAUGAACAGUAGAAGAAAUGUUAAGGAUUAUCAAAUCGAGUGUUGGAAGCUGAGUUUCUGUGAGCAUUUAUAUCCACGAAAAGCAGUAAAGCUCCCUAGGUAACUUUUGUUUGGGGAGAUGGGCAGGUGAGUCUAGGUUUUUUGUUUGUUUUGGUUUUUGGUUGUUUUUGUGGAGGAAAACGAGUAACUUGCCACAGUCUCAGAAUUGGAACUAAACUUGUUAAUCUAUUCUACGACAAGUCCUUUCUGUAUUACACUGCUUCUCACGUCACAGGAAAAGAAAAGCCUGAAAAUCUUACUUGAUAUAAAGUCAAUGGAUUUGAAGCAUAUGUAACUUCAGCAUAUGUAUCAUGGGUUGACCAGUUCCCCAAAGAUCUCUUAAAAUUAUGACCUAUAGUGCCUUCCUUAAUUACCACACUAAGGCAAAAAGGAGAAGAAAGAGGGAGGGAACGAAGAAAAUAGAAAGAACUUAAGAUUUUUGUAGAGGGAAGAAAAUAAAAAGAAUGAAUUUAACUUUUUAUAGAGGUUGCAUGAGGUCCAAGGACAAUACAACCAGUGAAGGAAAGGCAGCAGAAGCUGUCCUGUUAGAGCAGAGGCAUCCAUGGAGAAAGCCUCGCGCAGUGUUCUCUGAGGACACACCUGACUUUGGGAGAGUUAACACUUGGGAGAUAAUAAAGAGGGUACUGGUUACGUACACCGUGUUGGUCCAAUAGGUAAUUAUACUGGGGAAAAUGGAAGCUACAUAUAUGGAAGAGGAAAACUAGAAAGCCUUUUCUGGCAGGCUAGUAAUAGCAGGGUCAACCUCUAUAUGUACAAAUAUUAAGUAUGUUCAUACUCUGUCCCUUGAGAGACUCUGUGAGCAAUGAAUCCAUAAAAAUGAGUCAGUUUGGUUUCUAAAUACAAUUAUCCAUUUUUCUUAGCAAAAUAGUUGAUUCCAAGACUGGAGGAGAAAAAAUACAAUAUGAAUUUGGAGGCUUAGUAGUGUCAGAUGAAAGUAUUUAAGCAAAAAACUGCCUGGCAUGGUGGCGCACAUCUUUUAAUGCCAGCACUCGGGAGGCAGAGGCAGGUGGAUCUCUGUGAGUUUGAGGCCAGCAUGGUCUAUAGAGUGAGUUCCAGGACAGCGGGAAUAAGCACUAUAGCUGUUAACUAUAAUUAUAAUUGUUUGGAAGCCCUGUCUCAAAAACCAAACCAAAAAAAAGCAAAAACUAAUAAAGCAGGUUAAAGGGCUAUACAUGUGCCAAUUUGCACUUCUUGGACUUCACUGAGAAUAAGUGAGCUUCAUGGGAAAGACUGCGUCCAUGCUGCGGCACUUGCGCACACUGCGGAAGAGAAUUUUCCAGUCUCCCCCACCCACCGUUCCAUCUGGAGGAUGGCAAACUCACCUAGGGCUUGCUGGGCAAGCCCUUGAACCUGUUGAGCCAUCCCACUGGCCCACAGCUGCAUUCUUCUGUUGUUGAUGAUCACAUUUUACAGCCCAUCAAAUAGCAUGACAAGCUGUAACAUAAUUUCAAGUAAAUCCCCACAAAGCUCUAGUCACUGUAAGGGAGUUGAAUGUAGCUUGAGGAGGCGCACUUGGCCUAGCAUGCCUGAGACCUAAGGUUCCACCACUGUAGCUGCAACUAAAGCGUGUAGCAGAGAAUACGGGGGGGGGGGUAACUUUAUGAUGCUGACAAGCCCAGUAGACAGCACCUGAGACACCAUCCGAGUCAUCUGAUCAAAUGCCAGUAUAGUGACAAAUGGACGUUCAAUUCCACUUAAUAGAAUUCAUUAAGAAGAGCCUUAGUUAGUAAAGCCCUGUAUGCAUGUUUGGUCUACCUGAUUGAGUCUGCAGUUUGGAAAUGAAAAUAGCUUUAAAGGGCACAUGAAAAAAAUCAGUAAGACAACAUUAGGAUAAAAAAAUGUAGGGGGGGUAAAGAAGCUGUGCACACCAGUGUUCAAUGCUGAGGAACUAGGGAAUGCAAGACAGGACUCUGAAUGAUGCCAAUAUUUUAGUGUCAGCCUCCAGACAUAGCAAUUACGUACAUGGGUUUGGAUUUUGCAUGCUAUCUCUAUGACAACUUAUGCUGGAGUGUUAGGUUUUUUUAUUUUAAUGAAAAUGAUAAGAAUAUCUGCCUCAGCUUAGGGUUCAUUAAAUGAGAUAACCAACUGCUGAGUACAGCUUAGCACAUAAUACGCCAUAUAGCUGUUAACUGUAAUUACCUAUAAUUGUUUGGUUAUUAAUAGUAUUAGAGAGGACGAAGGAGCAACUAGAAAAUUACCCCAAAUUAGAGUUUGAAAGAAUUUUUAAAAAUAUCAACUGGCAGGAUGGCUCAGAGGGGAAAGAUGCUUGCCACCAAGCCUGACAACCUUGAGUUCUAUCCCCAAUAUCUGCAUAGUGGAAGCAGAGAACCAACUCCUGUAAGUUGUCCUCUGACCUAUGCACACGCACACAGGCACGCGCGCAGGCACGCACGCACGCACGCGCACACACAAAGGAAAAGUACACCUUGCAGAAAGACACCUGCCUCCAUACAAAGUUGACAAAUUAUGCUGGGACUGCCUCUGUCCAGUUUGUGGACGCUACAGAACUGGUGGUAAGUCUCUAGGUUUUGCAUGUGUUUAGUACUCAUCCACAAAACCAUGUCUCUGUUAAGGAAUAUUUGCUCCAACUUAGCAAUUCUGUUUAUAGUACUAUUGGCACUUUUUGUUUGUUUGUUUGUUUGUUUUUUGUUUGGUUGGUUGGUUUUCAAGACAGGGUUUCUGUGUAUUGUUUUGGAGGCUGUUCUGGAACUUGCUCUGUAGACCAUGCUGGUCUCGAACUCACAGAGAUCCACCUGCCUCUGCCUCCUAAGUGCUGGGAUCAAAGGCGUGUGCCACCACCGCCCGGCUUAUUGGCACUUUUCUAUCUCCGUAAUUGCUAAUUUUAUGCAUUAAUUGGUAGUGGUUCAUUGAGAUUUUAAUGUUUCUUAGAUGUAUGUGUGAGAAUGUUUUGCUUGCAUAUAUGUAUUAUGCACCACAUGCAUGGCUACAAGAAGUGUUAGAAGUUAAAAGGGAGUCACAGAUGGUUGUAAACUACCAUAUGGUGCUGGGAACUGAACCUGGGUCCUCUGCAAGAGCAACCAGUGCUCUUACCCUGAGCCAUCGCUCCAGCCUCGUGGUUUGUUUUUGUAAAGCACUUUCUAUUACUUAUCUCACAGUGGCUCAUCGUAUUAACCAACGGAGACAGAAACACCCUCACACUUGUAAUGAGAAAGUGGGAAGGGUUAGUUCUGUGAGAGAGAGGGAAAAGGAUAAAUUCUGGUGAAGCAAGGAAACCCAUCAUAGGUGCUGGAGAGAGAAGGAAAACAGCCAGUAUGUAAAACUAGCAGCUGUGCUAAUAGUGUGGUUGGCCUUGCUUCUAAUCAGGAGCUAGGAAAACGGUACACUGACAGUCCACACUAAGAUACUGAAGGGCCAGCUGGGGUGGGACACACCUUUAAUCCCAGCUCAGGGGGCAGAGUCAGCACGAUCUCUGAGUUCAAGGCCAGUCUUGUCGUACAGAGUGAGUUCUGGGACAGCCAGGCCUACACAGAGAAGUCUGAAAAACAAAAACAAAACAAAAAAGAUAGUAUUGAAGGAGUCAGUGAGAUUGCUAGGAAGUGAAGGCACUUGCUGCUAGGCCUGAUAUCCUGAGUGCAGUACCAGGAACCAUGGAGUUGAAGAGCCAGCUCCUGAAAGUUGUUCUCUGACCUCAACAUGUCUAGUGUGGCAUGCAUGUGCCUCAACUCCCCCCACGCUAAAUAAAUAAACGUAAAUUUUUAUUCCCUGUAUAUGUCUUAUCAAUCUUUUUGCCCAUGAAUAGCUCAUUUAUGCUCUAAUAAAUCUGUAGGUUCAACUGAA